UACGUAGGCAGCAAGCGUUGUUCGGAGUUACUGGGCGUAAAGGGUGUGUAGGCGGUUUUCUAAGUCUGGUGUGAAAUCUCCCGGCUCAACUGGGAGGGUGCGCCGAAAACUGGAAGGCUAGAGUGCGGGAUGGGAGAGUGGAAUUCCUGGUGUAGCGGUGAAAUGCGCAGAUAUCGGGAAGAACACCUAUGGCGAAGGCAGCUCUCUGGGACGGUACUGACGCUGAGACGCGAAAGCGUGGGGAGCGAACAGG
rnacentral:rRNA from 1 species